rnacentral:rRNA from 1 species
UGAGGAACAUGACCUUCGGCGGGGGAUAGCCGGCCCAACGGCCGGGUAAUACCGCGUACGACCACAUGGGGACAUCCCCGAGUGGUGAAAGCAGCAAUGCGCCGAUGGAGUGCCUCGCGGCCUAUCAGCUAGUUGGUGAGGUAACGGCUCACCAAGGCGACGACGGGUAGCUGGUCUGAGAGGAUGGCCAGCCACAUUGGGACUGAGAUACGGCCCAGACUCCGUAGGGAGG